AAGAAACCAACAGGGAUUGCCCCAGUAACGGCGAGUGAAGCGGCAACAGCUCAAAUUUGAAAUCUGGCCCCAGGCCCGAGUUGUAAUUUGCAGAGGAUGCUUUUGGCGCGGUGCCUUCCGAGUUCCCUGGAACGGGACGCCAUAGAGGGUGAGAGCCCCGUACGGUUGGACACCAAGCCUUUGUAAAGCUCCUUCGACGAGUCGAGUAGUUUGGGAAUGCUGCUCUAAAUGGGAGGUACAUUUCUUCUAAAGCUAAAUAUUGGCCAGAGACCGAUAGCGCACAAGUAGAGUGAUCGAAAGAUGAAAAGCACUUUGAAAAGAGGGUUAAACAGCACGUGAAAUUGUUAAAAGGGAAGCGCUUGUGACCAGACUUGCGUCCGGUGAAUCACCCAGCUCUCGCGGCUGGGGCACUUCGCCGGCACAGGCCAGCAUCAGCUUGCCGUCGGGGACAAAAGCUUCAGGAACGUAGCUCCUCUCGGGGAGUGUUAUAGCCUGUUGUAUAAUACCCUUCGGCGGGCUGAGGUACGCGCUCCGCAAGGAUGCUGGCGUAAUGGUCAUCAGCGACCCGUCUUGAAACACGGACCAAGGAGUCAACCUUAUGUGCGAGUGUUUGGGUGUUAAACCCCUACGCGUAAUGAAAGUGAACGCAGGUGAGAGCUUCGGCGCAUCAUCGACCGAUCCUGAUGUUCUCGGAUGGAUUUGAGUAAGAGCAUAUAGGGUUGGACCCGAAAGAAGGUGAACUAUGCGUGUGUAGGGUGAAGCCAGAGGAAACUCUGGUGGAGGCUCGCAGCGGUUCUGACGUGCAAAUCGAUCGUCAAACAUGCGCAUGGGGGCGAAAGACUAAUCGAACCUU
rnacentral:rRNA from 1 species